ensembl:lncRNA
GACUUUGGAUAUCUCUGAUCUCACCUUUACCUGAACCAUCAACACCGAGGCACUUACAGUUUCAAAAAUGAAAGUCAGGCCGUAAUGGUAAAUAUGCAUACCGAAUUGGGGUAACUUUGUGGCUACAAGGAAUCCUAGAGAGCCUUAAAUUCGGCAUGUUCCUGACAUUUGCUGGAGAAGAACUAAUGACUUGUUAUUUCUCUGAAAUCUUAGAGUCGUGAGACAGGGAAGGGGGGAAAUCAUCUUGAUGGUGACAUACCUAAGGUCAGGGGACAUAAGCCAUCCUGUCAGAAUCUCAUCCUAGGGGAAGGAGAUUGCUGUGUCUCUGCUUGCUGAGUUUUUGACAUUCUGAUUUAAGAACUCGUGUGUGUGCGUGUGUGUGUGUGUGUGUGUGUGUGUGAGAGAGAGAGAGAGAGAGAGAGAGACAGAGAGAGAGAGAGAGAGAGAGAGAGAGAGAGAGAGAGAGAGAUCAUACAGCAGGAUGUUUCUCUAUUCUGAGACUUCAGCUAAUGUUAAUUGAGGCCACAGAAGCUGCCUAACUCAGUGGGAAUCUUGUUUUUAUAAUUACAGGGUUAGGCAUCUUACAUUGAGUUUCUACUACCACCCUUCCUACUCAAGCAAAAUCUUUGUGAAAAGAUCCGCUGCAAAGGAACUGACUGCUUAUGGUUCUUCAUUGUGAUGAAAGCACAUGGUACAGGUUUGCUGUAGAAGAUGUGUUAUGACCCAUCCCAUGAAUACCUUCAAAGGAUGCAGAGGACCCUUUGAAGGUAAAUUUAUCUUUGAAUGCAUAAAAUGGACAAUAUACAACACACUGCUCCUCACUUCAUGGAGAAAGCAGUUGCCAACUGAGUUGGGAAAAGCAAAACCUCUGUCCCUAUAAGAAGUUCAUUGCUAGAUCAAGCAGCAUCUCACCAGCAUCUGAAUUGUACCAUCCAAAAAAGAUUUGUGAAAAGUAGCUCAGUUCAUAUUCCAUGAUAUAGCAGCUCCCUGGCACAAGCUGUCAAGAGGCUCUCUCUGAUCUUGUCCAGUGCUGAAACUUAAGAUCUGGGUUCUUAUCUCCCAAUGUUGAUUCUUUUCCACACAGUCAAAAUAGAACAGUAGAACAUUGUUUUAACAGCAUGACCCCCACCAAAAAUUGUCACUCUUCCUAAAAGUUGCAUAAGCUAAACUAGGGAUGAAACAAUUAUGGAACAUGUGUGGAAGGGAGUGUGCCAAGAGCUCAGUGAUUUCAUGUCAUUUCCUGUGGACUCAGGAUUCACAAAUCAAACUUCGUUUCUCUACUUUGUCUUUUCCACUUUUGUCUCUGUGAUUUUUCAGUAGGUACCUGAUUGGGUAUUUCUCUGCUGCCUCAGUGUGUCCUGUCUUCCUUUGCUGCUCCCUGCUAGGCCCCCCUCUACCUCCAUCCUGCUGAUGGGAACCAUGUUGGGAGUACUCAGAAAACAUUAGCUGCAUUUGUAGCUAGAGGAGGAAUUGCUUCCAAACCCUCUGCGAUUGUGGGGAUAGACGCAUUCCCCCAGCCUCCCUCAAAAGUGGUAUUUUCCUGAAGUGUUGCAGGUUACUGUUAGAGGUGUGGCACAGUUUUCUUAUUGGAGGACAGGGACAUGUUAUAUAAUUCACAAACCAUAUCACAUAGGCUUUACAUAAUUGACUUCUCUCUGAGAAGAAAAUUAGACUAGAAAUAAUGACAUUGCAGAAACAUUCCCACUUUUGGUACCUUCUAAAUAUGCUGUAAGUCCUGAUUUUCUUUUCGUAGGUUUUGAACUUGUCAAUGACUGAAUUUCUAGGGCUAUUCAAGACUCUACGAUGUUCAGUUUGCCACUAUCUGUAUUGUUAAGUAAUUCCAUGAUGAUUGGGCAGAACAGGG